UACGAAGGGGGCUAGCGUUGCUCGGAAUUACUGGGCGUAAAGCGCACGUAGGCGGCUUUCUAAGUCGGGGGGUGAAAUCCUGGAGCUCAACUCCAGAACUGCCUCGAUACUGGAAAGCUCGAGUCCGGGAGAGGUGAGUGGAACUGCGAGUGUAGAGGUGAAAUUCGUAGAUAUUCGCAAGAACACCAGUGGCGAAGGCGGCUCAGCUGGCCCGGUACCGACGUCAGGCACGAAAGCGUGGGGAGCAACAGGGAUUAAGAAACCCAUGGUAACGUC
rnacentral:rRNA from 1 species